rnacentral:rRNA from 1 species
AUUGAACGCUGGCGGCAGGCCUAACACAUGCAAGUCGGACGAGUGGCGGACGGGUGAGUAAUGUCUGGGAAACUGCCUGAUGGAGGGGGAUAACUACUGGAAACGGUAGCUAAUACCGCAUACCAUCGGAUGUGCCCAGAUGGGAUUAGCUAGUAGGGGGGGUAAAGGCUCACCAAGGCGACGAUCCCUAGCUGGUCUGAGAGGAUUACCGUCAACACGGGAACUGAGACACGGUCCAGGCUCCGACGGGAGGAAGCAGUGGGGAAUAUUGCACAAUGGGCGCAAGCCUGAUGCAGCCAUGCCGCGUGUAUGAAGAAGGCCUUCGGGUUGUAAAGUACUUUCAGCGGGGAGGCGUUACCCGCAGAAGAAGCACCGGCUAACUCCGUGCCAGCAGCCGCGGUAAUA